rnacentral:piRNA from 1 species
GUCCUUACCUUCACAGAAGCAGGC